CGCGGACGCCGCGAAGAGGGGGGAAACCAAGAUGGCGGCAAGGGGGGGGUUUGGCUGACACGGCGCUGCCCGUUCCCCCUCCCCAGGCGCUCUCCCCCAACUCGCCGAGGGGCCGCGGGCCGCUCCCGCUACGCGAGGAUCCAGCAGAGGCGCGGGGCUGGGGGAGGGGGCGCCCGCAGGCUGCGGCGUCCCAGCCUCCCCGGUUCCUUCCCGCCCGCCCGGUCACCUUCCCGCGACCCCGGCGCUUGGUGAAGCAUUCUGAAGAUGGAUCUGAAAUGAUGGUGGAUGGGGAAAGACUUCUUAUUUUUCCACCCAAACUUGGCCAAAAGGAGUUAAUUCUCACUUCACAGAAAAUCAAUGAAGGUUGAAGAUGCUGCCCUUUCAGUAUCAUUUAAUAGAGCACAAUCCAACAACCAAAAAAAAAAGGAGUUGUUGUCAAUCAGCCAAAGUGUUGACUGAAUCAGCUGUGAAGCAGUGCUGGCUGAACGUUGCAUUUUAAGCUCUAGAAAGCCAUGUGCUCAGAAAAUGGCCCUGGAGAGAGAAAUUGGGCAAAACAGCCCAGAAACCACAUUCACCUGGAAAAUAACACUUUCACAGCAUGGUCACCCUGACAGCCUUGAAGUUGGGAAAAUCC